rnacentral:SRP_RNA from 2 species
GCCAGGUGUGAUGGCUGACACCUGUAAUCCCAGCACUUUGGGAGGCUGAGGCAGGUGGAUUGCCUGAGCUCAGGAGUUCAAGACCAGCCUGGGCAACAUGGCAAAAUCCUGUCUCUA